UGCGCAAGUGAUGAGAAAAACAGACAGGGACAUCAGAGCUCACUUCGAGUAUGAUGAUUUGUCUUUGGGAAUCUCUUUGAUGCCCU
rfam:Eucalyptus grandis cultivar BRASTZ1 unplaced genomic scaffold scaffold_2, whole genome shotgun sequence.